UACGUAGGGUGCAAGCGUUGUCCGGAAUUAUUGGGCGUAAAGAGCUUGUAGGCGGUUUGUCGCGGUCAUGCUGUGAAAAUUUCGGGGGCGUCAACCCCGAACUUGACAGUGGGUACGGGCAGACUAGAGUGUGGUAGGGGAGACUUGGAAUUCCUGGUGUAGGCGGUAGAAAUGACGCAGAGUAUCAAGGAGGAACACCGAUGGCGGAAGGCAGGUCUCCUGGGCCUGAUAACUGACGCUGGAGAAGCGAAAGCAUGGGGAGCGAACAGG
rnacentral:rRNA from 1 species